UGGGGAAUUUUGGACAAUGGGCGCAAGCCUGAUCCAGCCAUGCCGCGUGUCUGAAGAAGGCCUUCGGGUUGUAAAGGACUUUUGUCAGGGAAGAAAAGGCUGUUGCUAAUACCGACAGUUGACGACGGUACCUGAAGAAUAAGCACCGGCUAACUACGUGCCAGCAGCCGCGGUAAUACGUAGGGUGCGAGCGUUAAUCGGAAUUACUGGGCGUAAAGCGAGCGCAGACGGUUACUUAAGCAGGAUGUGAAAUCCCCGGGCUCAACCUGGGAACUGCGUUCUGAACUGGGUGACUAGAGUGUGUCAGAGGGAGGUAGAAUUCCACGUGUAGCAGUGAAAUGCGUAGAGAUGUGGAGGAAUACCGAUGGCGAAGGCAGCCUCCUGGGAUAACACUGACGUUCAUGCUCGAAAGCGUGGGUAGCAAACAGGAUUAGAUACCCUGGUAGUCCACGCCCUAAACGAUGUCAAUUAGCUGUUGGGCAACUUGAUUGCUUAGUAGCGUAGCUAACGCGUGAAAUUGACCGCCUGGGGAGUACGGUCGCAAGAUUA
rnacentral:rRNA from 1 species